rnacentral:rRNA from 4 species
CCGCGUGUUUCAAGGGUUGCGGCACGACCUGAUCCCUUCCCGAACUCAGAAGUCAAACGCAGCACCGCUAAUGAUACUCCAGUGUUUAAGACUGGUGGGAAAGUAGGCAAUGCGCGGU